UUUGUUUUUUUUUUUUCAGUCAUCUGGACCUCCAAAGUACUGCAGUUGUUUGAUUUGUUCUGAUCCUGGAUUCUGCAUAUUAACUCUGAGGACAUCAUGAGCCAGUGUGUGAAUGUGCGGAGUCAUCCGGGAAGAGGGAACCUCAGCUGAGAAAACGCCCCCCCCCCCAGGUUGGCUUAUAGAUACCAAGCAAGUGCUUACACUCAGGAGUGAGUCAUCCUCUGUCCACGCAGGUGGCUGUGGGCACACCUGAGGAAACAAAGUCCAGCACGUAGCCGGCAGAAGCCGUCCCCGCAGCGGAAGCUCCAGAGCAGGGCGAGAUGAGC